rnacentral:rRNA from 1 species
UAGGGAAUCUNNNNNCAAUGGACGGAAGUCUGACCGAGCAACGCCGCGUGAGUGAAGAAGGUUUUCGGAUCGUAAAGCUCUGUUGUAAGAGAAGAACGAGUGUGAGAGUGGAAAGUUCACACUGUGACGGUAUCUUACCAGAAAGGGACGGCUAACUACGUGCCAGCAGCCGCGGUAAUACGUAGGUCCCGAGCGUUGUCCGGAUUUAUUGGGCGUAAAGCGAGCGCAGGCGGUUAGAUAAGUCUGAAGUUAAAGGCUGUGGCUUAACCAUAGUACGCUUUGGAAACUGUUUAACUUGAGUGCAAGAGGGGAGAGUGGAAUUCCAUGUGUAGCGGUGAAAUGCGUAGAUAUAUGGAGGAACACCGGUGGCGAAAGCGGCUCUCUGGCUUGUAACUGACGCUGAGGCUCGAAAGCGUGGGGAGCAAACAGGAUUAGAUACCCUGGUAGUCCACGCCGUAAACGAUGAGUGCUAGGUGUUAGACCCUUUCCGGGGUUUAGUGCCGCAGCUAAACGCAUUAAGCACUCCGCCUGGGGAGUACGACCGCAAGGUUG